rnacentral:tRNA from 1 species
CAAAGUGUAGCUUAAAUAAAAGCAUCUAGUUUACACCUAGAAGAUUUCAUAUAAACUGACCACUUUGA